UGCGUAGGCGGUGCCUCAAGUUUGGUGUGAAAUCUCCCGGCUCAACCGGGAGGGUGCGCCGAAAACUGAGGUGCUCGAGUGUGGGAGAGGUAAGCGGAAUUCCUGGUGUAGCGGUGAAAUGCGUAGAUAUCAGGAGGAACACCGGCGGUGUAGACGGCUUACUGGACCAUAACUGACGCUGAGGCACGAAAGUGUGGGAGCAAACA
rnacentral:rRNA from 1 species